UUAAAUGCUUUUUUAAAAGCAAUAAAAAUUAAAAAGGACUGGAUUU
rfam:Erinaceus europaeus unplaced genomic scaffold scaffold01063, whole genome shotgun sequence